rnacentral:rRNA from 1 species
GAUGAACGCUGGCGGCGUGCCUAAUACAUGCAAGUCGAGCGAACAGAUAAGGAGCUUGCUCCUUUGACGUUAGCGGCGGACGGGUGAGUAACACGUGGGUAACCUACCUAUAAGACUGGAAUAACUCCGGGAAACCGGGGCUAAUGCCGGAUAACAUUUAGAACCGCAUGGUUCUAAAGUGAAAGAUGGUUUUACUAUCACUUAUAGAUGGACCCGCGCCGUAUUAGCUAGUUGGUAAGGUAACGGCUUACCAAGGCAACGAUACGUAGCCGACCUGAGAGGGUGAUCGGCCACACUGGAACUGAGACACGGUCCAGACUCCUACGGGAGGCAGCAGUAGGGAAUCUUCCGCAAUGGGCGAAAGCCUGACGGGGCAACGCCGCGUGAGUGAUGAAGGUCUUCGGAUCGUAAAACUCUGUUAUUAGGGAAGAACAAAUGUGUAAGUAACUGUGCACGUCUUGACGGUACCUAAUCAGAAAGCCACGGCUAACUACGUG